AAUGAAUGGACGGACGCAAUGGAGGAGAUGACAGAUAUAAUAUCAGAUGAGACAAAAGUAAUAAAACUACUACUGGAGAUUGUGUGUGAUGCGUACAAGUUUUGCUUAUACAGAGCAGAUCGUUUCAUGGAUAAGAUCAACAGGACUCUUAGUGGAUUCUCUGAGGAGCUCAGCUCAUCUGAGACGAUGCCAAAGGUAAUCAACCAAACCAACAAGGACUACCGGAAAAGGUUGGCAGUACAUGUCGUCAAAUACCUAUAGCAGGAUUUUGCGAAAGAGGCGAAGAGAGACGCAAACAUUAAGGUAGGAACAAAGACGGAAGCGUACAUGAAGAGGUGCGUGUUCGUGUGCUGGCUCAUGACCGUUCAGGACCCCAAGGUUUGCAUUUCAAUGAAGCCACCAGAAAUAUUCGACGAGGAUCUGUAUAAACCCUACACAAAGAAAGGCAAGCGGCUUGACUAUGUAGUAUGGCCAGUCUUGCAUCUUCACAAAGGAGGGCCUAUACUUGGCAAGGGCGUGGCCCAAGGCAAACCAUGAUGCAGUAACGUGUGUGGUACUAGAAAACUGCUGAAAGACAUGUGACAAGGUCUUUUAUGAGAAUAUCAAGUUCAAGGAGUUAGGCAAGUACAGCGGACAUUUCAUUUUUGGGAAAUGCAUCAGGUGUUAGGCUUUUAUUAUAUGAAUUAUUGUAUAAAAUAUUUGUAUUUGUAAAUCAUGUAUAUAUAAAAUGUCAUAUGCAUACACAUUUGUAUCAUAUCGUCAUGUGGAUAUAUGAUGCAUUUGUAUAACGAGUACAUGAGUAAGGAUGUGCUGUAACAUUGUCACGCGAGACGCUCUCUAAACUCACCAAAAGGAACUGCGACCAUCUUAUGAUUAGAACCAGUUAUCCAAAGUUAAAAUGUGCCAACCACUAAAUCACACUAGAAGCUUUAUUGCAAUUUAAAAAUGUAAUGAUAUUAUAAUUUACUGUAUCGAAGUUAAUCAGACAAAAAGGUAAAUAUUGUCCAUGUAAGGUCAGACUGAUAUUCAAAUGUUCAGUGAUCUGUAUCUUUGAUCCGUCUACUGUUCAUUUAGGGGAUCAUUUUCUAUGUAAAUCUGUAUAUGAGCUGAUAAUUCGAGUUAAGCACGACAAAACUGAAUAGAUGACGAAUAUUUCAUUGUACUCAAUAGAACUUAUUCCUGAAAUAUUCUGUAAUAUGCAAUACUUUAUUAAGCACCAGUAUUCAAACUCGUCGAUGAUAGAUUAAUCAUAAAUUAUACUAAUCAACUGUUUGGUUGUCCUGCAGUUUUACAACUCCCGCCAAAUAGUAACGUCCGUGGUGAAACAUCACUUUUCGUCGGUUAGUAACCGUGCAUUAUAAGAAGAUAAUGCAUGUGCUUUUAGGUAUGUACCCGCCAACCAUGCAUGUGCAACGCUCUUAAUAGCCCUUCCUUAACUAGUAAAUCUAAACAUACUUACUGUGGAAUAAAUUUUCUUUGUCUAGUUAGAGAACACCCAUAUAUGUUGUAUAUAUUUUAACAUCUGUUAACACACAAAACAAAAUCAACAUAAACGCAACAAAUGUUCCGCUGCGGUUACCAUGAAAGCAACAUUCUAUAGUGGUUCGCUGCUCUUGAUUGAUAAAAAUAAAAUAAAAUAAAGUAUGA